rnacentral:rRNA from 1 species
CCCUUAGAUGUUCUGGGCCGCACGCGCGCUACACUGAUGCAUUCAACGAGUUUUACCUUGGCCGAGAGGCCUGGGCAAUCUUUUAAACCUGCAUCGUGAUAGGGAUAGAUUAUUGCAAUUAUUAAUCUUGAACGAGGAAUUCCUAGUAAACGCGAAUCAUCAAUUCGCAUUGAUUACGUCCCUGCCCUUUGUACACACCGCCCGUCGCACCUACCGAUUGAAGUUUUCGGUGAGCUGGCAGGAGGAAUUUUUUGAAACUGGUUCGCUAGUGGAUUUUAGUUCCAAAUGCCAACGAAUCGAUGGCUUUAGAGGAAGGAGAAGUCGUAACA